ACACUGUUCAUGGGUUACCGCGGCUGCUGGCACGGAGUUAGCCGGUGCUUCUUCUGUGAGUGAUGUCCUUCCUGCCGGCUAUUAACCCGCAGGCCUUCUUCCUCACUGAAAGUGCUUUACAACCCGAAGGCCUUCUUCACACACGCGGCAUGGCUGGAUCAGGGUUGCCCCCAUUGUCCAAUAUUCCCCACUGCUGCCUCCCGUAGGAGUCUGGGCCGUGUCUCAGUUCCCCAGUGUGGCUGGAUCAUCCUCUCAGACCAGCUACGGGAUCGUCGCCUUGGUGAGCCGUUACCUCACC
rnacentral:rRNA from 1 species